GUGGACGACUCCACUCGGAAGCAGAUGGAGGGUAACGCUGAAGGUAUAGCCGCUCCAGUUCCAGCUCCACUCUUCUCCUUCCCCCUCUCCUUGACUUUCUCCCGUGGGUGGUACAACCUGGCAGAUUACAAAACACCCCUCCCAUGUGCCUCGCCACUCUCUGUGCCAGGGUGAAGCUACCGAUCUGAUGCUCCUGAAGAGUAUGAAAGUGUGAGCUGAGAGAGAGAGAGAGAGAGAGAGAGAGAGUAAUAGAGAAAGAGAGAAGCAAAAGAAAGAAAAAGCUAGUGGAAGGCAAGAGGACACAAUCGACGCCACUGUCUGCUGAGAACAUGAGGUGCCUAUCCCAGUGGUGGUCCUUUACUGCAAUUGUAAGCUACCAACAGUCUAUUGUACGUGCCACGCCUGCCAAACACACACAAAUACUCAGGUUCAGAGUACACUAGCCUGCUCUAUGCUCAGAGAAACGUUCCCUUCUAUACCAGAGAUCACAGGAGCAUGUAAAGGUGAGUGAUUGCUGUUAUCUGAGGACACAGGCAGAAUAAGCGCAGUGGACAGAGCUGUAUGGUGGGGCGGGUCAGCUGGUGUUGUGAAUCAGGCCGCCGUAAUGAGUGGGCACGGCUUCUUCAUAACACCAGGGUCACACCCUACCACACUCAGCACCUGCCAGCAGCGCACACACAUAUCCACACACACACACACAAAAAGACAAAAAUACAAAGACCCAGUGACCCAAGGAGUCAUCACAGGAAAAAUAUAUACAUAUAAACAUUACAGCUCCAGUGCAAAGAAAAAGUGUGUACUUUUGGUAGAAUAAAAUGCUUAUUUCAAAAGUAAUCUGUUAUCUGUUAUCUGUUGUAUAAAAUAUACAUAUAUAUCUAAUGUAUAAAUAUUUUUUCAAAUUAAUAAAAUGACCUAACAUUCA